rnacentral:rRNA from 1 species
AGAGUUUGAUCAUGGCUCAGAAUGAACGCUGGCGGCGUGCUUAACACAUGCAAGUCGAACGGUAACAGAGGUGCUUGCACCUGCUGACGAGUGGCGCACGGGUGAGUAAUGCAUAGGUAAUGUGCCCCCCAGUCUGGGAUAGCCACUGGAAACGGUGAUUAAUACCGGAUAUUCCUGCUGAUUGAUUUUCAGCAGGGAAAGGUUUUUCGCUGGGGGAUCAGCCUAUGUCCUAUCAGCUGGUUGGUGAGGUAAGAGCUCACCAAGGCGAUGACGGGUAGCUGGUUUGAGAGGAUGAUCAGCCACACUGGUACUGAGGCACGGACCAGACUCCUACGGGAGGCAGCAGUGAGGAAUAUUGCACAAUGGGGGAAACCCUGAUGCAGCAACGCCGCGUGGAGGAUGACGCAUUUCGGUGUGUAAACUCCUUUUAUGAGAGAAGAAGAUGACGG